rnacentral:rRNA from 1 species
UACAGAGGGUGCAAGCGUUGUUCGGAAUUAUUGGGCGUAAAGCGCGUGUAGGCGGCCAGGUAGGUCGGUUGUGAAAACUGGAGGCUCAACCUCCAGACGUCGACCGAAACCAUCUGGCUAGAGUCCGGAAGAGGAGAGUGGAAUUCCUGGUGUAGCGGUGAAAUGCGCAGAUAUCAGGAAGAACACCGAUGGCGAAGGCAGCUCUCUGGGACGGUACUGACGCUGAGACGCGAAAGCGUGGGGAGCGAACAGG